GCUGAGCCCAGGACAAAGGCAAGGACAGCAUGGUUGAAAUGCACAGUGGAUGGAAACCCUGCCAUGGAUAUGUCUCCCUGCAAAAAAAGUGUGAUGGAAGCUGAGCCUCGAAGGAAGAGGUGGCCAGCUGCCUCUGCAGGUGAAACACUGGAGACAGGGCAGAGGUGCACACAAAUAUAGUAGCUGCUCUCCCAGUCAGACCAGCAAUGCAUCCAGGCCGGUCUUGUCUCUAACCGUGGCCAGGAGAAGGUGCAAGAUGCCCCACGCUCUGAAUGCUGGUGGAACCUGCCCAUGUGCCAGCUGUCUGCAUCUCCCCUUGUGCUGCAGGAGAGACAGUGAGGCGGGAGAGAGCACAGCACCAGCCAGGUUUCCUGUCCCACAAGAAGGACUCUGAAUGAUGUACCAGUACAGUCAGGCUCUGCUGCAAUGGUGCACAGAACCUCUGGAACAGCUGGAUUUAGGAUUAUUAAUGCUUCAUAAAGGUGCCCUGGACUUCUUCUAGCAACUAGCUGGAGGCAUCAGCUGCCCUUUGGGGCUUGCAGUCUGCUCUUCACCUUCCCGUCAUUACUGGUGCUGCUCUCAUCUGGGUCGUCAGCAUUCCAGCCAGGUGAAGGGACUUUCUCUGUCCGGGAGUGGAGGGUAUCCGGCAGGCAGGGCCGGUGUGAGUGCUGGGGAGGAUUCCAGCCGUGACCCACCAUGGCUCAGGCAGCCAAGCAGCUGAAGAAGAUUAAAGAUAUCGAGGCUCAGGCUCUGCAGGAGCAAAAGGAGAAGGAAGAAUCCAACCGCAAGCGCAGGAAUCGCUCCCGGGAUCGGAAGA